CCUACGGUAGGCAGCAGUGAGGAAUAUUGGUCAAUGGACGCAAGUCUGAACCAGCCAUGCCGCGUGCAGGAAGAAGGCUCUAUGAGUUGUAAACUGCUUUUGUACGAGGGUAAACGCAGAUACGCGGAUCUGUCUGAAAGUAUCGUACGAAUAAGGAUCGGCUCACUCCGUGCCAGCAGACGCGGUAAUAUGGUGGAGUCAAGCGUUAUCCGGAUAUAUGGGGUUUAAAGGGUGCGUAGGCGGUCGGAUAAGGUAGAGGUGAAAUCCAGAGGCUCAACUUCGGAAUUGCCUUUGAUACUGUUCGGCUAGAGAGUAGUUGCGGUAGGCGGAAUGUAUGGUGUAGCGGUGAAAUGCUUAGAGAUCAUACAGAACACCGAUUGCGAAGGCAGCUUACCAAGCUACUUCUGACGUUGAGGCACGAAAGCGUGGGGAGCAAACAGGAUUAGAUACCCCAGUAGUC
rnacentral:rRNA from 1 species